GACGAACGCUGGCGGCGUGCUUAACACAUGCAAGUCGAACGGAAAGGCCCAGCUUGCUGGGUACUCGAGUGGCGAACGGGUGAGUAACACGUGGGUGAUCUGCCCUGGACUCUGGGAUAAGCCUGGGAAACUGGGUCUAAUACCGGAUAUGACCUUACAUCGCAUGGUGUUUGGUGGAAAGCUUUUGCGGUUCAGGAUGGGCCCGCGGCCUAUCAGCUUGUUGGUGGGGUAAUGGCCUACCAAGGCGACGACGGGUAGCCGACCUGAGAGGGUGAUCGGCCACAGUGGGCAGGCGAACGUACACAGACUACAGGGGAUGGUAGCAGUGUGGAAUCGAGGACAGUGGUAGGAAGUGUGGCGCAGGGGCGGCGGGUGGGGGAUGGCCGUGUGAUGGUAGAACACCUCUUCGACGGGGGAGGAAGCAGGAGGGGCGUUACAAGGAGAAGAACAAACGGACAGCUCGGUGCCACAAGCCGUGUUAAUAAUCGCACAGCAAACGUCGGACC
rnacentral:rRNA from 1 species